rnacentral:rRNA from 1 species
AGAGUUUGAUCCUGGCUCAGAUUGAACGCUGGCGGCAGGCCUAACACAUGCAAGUCGAGCGGAUGAAGGGAGCUUGCUCCUGGAUUCAGCGGCGGACGGGUGAGUAAUGCCUAGGAAUCUGCCUGGUAGUGGGGGAUAACGUCCGGAAACGGGCGCUAAUACCGCAUACGUCCUGAGGGAGAAAGUGGGGGAUCUUCGGACCUCACGCUAUCAGAUGAGCCUAGGUCGGAUUAGCUAGUUGGUGGGGUAAAGGCCUACCAAGGCGACGAUCCGUAACUGGUCUGAGAGGAUGAUCAGUCACACUGGAACUGAGACACGGUCCAGACUCCUACGGGAGGCAGCAGUGGGGAAUAUUGGACAAUGGGCGAAAGCCUGAUCCAGCCAUGCCGCGUGUGUGAAGAAGGUCUUCGGAUUGUAAAGCACUUUAAGUUGGGAGGAAGGGCAGUAAGUUAAUACCUUGCUGUUUUGACGUUACCAACAGAAUAAGCACCGGCUAACUUCGUGCCAGCAGCCGCGGU